GCUUAACACAUGCAAGUCGAGCGAGGACCGCCCGGUGGCAACACCGGGUUGGUGCCUAGCGGCGAACGGGUGAGUAACACGUGGGUAACCUGCCCCCGACACCGGGAUAAGCCUGGGAAACUGGGUCUAAUACCGGAUAUGAGCCUCCUCCGCAUGGUGGGGGCUGGAAAGGGUCCCCGGUCGGGGAUGGGCCCGCGUCCUAUCAGCUUGUUGGUGGGGUAACGGCCUACCAAGGCGACGACGGGUAGCCGGCCUGAGAGGGCGACCGGCCACACUGGGACUGAGAUACGGCCCAGACUCCUACGGGAGGCAGCAGUGGGGAAUAUUGCACAAUGGGCGAAAGCCUGAUGCAGCAACGCCGCGUGCGGGAUGACGGCCUUCGGGUUGUAAACCUCUUUCAGGAGGGACGAAGCCACUCGGGUUAAUAGCCCAGAGGGUGACGGUACCUCCAGAAGAAGCCCCGGCUAACUACGUGCCAGCAGCCGCGGUAAUUC
rnacentral:rRNA from 1 species